GAUGAACGCUGGCGGCGUGCCUAAUACAUGCAAGUCGAGCGAACAGAUGAGAAGCUUGCUUCUCUGAUGUUAGCGGCGGACGGGUGAGUAACACGUGGGUAACCUACCUAUAAGACUGGGAUAACUCCGGGAAACCGGGGCUAAUACCGGAUAAUAUUUCGAACUGCAUGGUUCAAUAGUGAAAGACGGUUUCGGCUGUCACUUAUAGAUGGACCCGCGCCGUAUUAGCUAGUUGGUAAGGUAACGGCUUACCAAGGCGACGAUACGUAGCCGACCUGAGAGGGUGAUCGGCCACACUGGAACUGAGACACGGUCCAGACUCCUACGGGAGGCAGCAGUAGGGAAUCUUCCGCAAUGGGCGAAAGCCUGACGGAGCAACGCCGCGUGAGUGAUGAAGGUCUUCGGAUCGUAAAACUCUGUUGUUAGGGAAGAACAAAUUUGUUAGUAACUGAACAAGUCUUGACGGUACCUAACCAGAAAGCCACGGCUAACUACGUGCCAGCCGCCGCGGUAA
rnacentral:rRNA from 1 species